rnacentral:rRNA from 1 species
GGCGUGCUUAACACAUGCAAGUCGAACGGAAAGGCCCUGCUUUUGUGGGGUGCUCGAGUGGCGAACGGGUGAGUAACACGUGAGUAACCUGCCCUUGACUUUGGGAUAACUUCAGGAAACUGGGGCUAAUACCGGAUAGGAGCUCCUGCUGCAUGGUGGGGGUUGGAAAGUUUCGGCGGUUGGGGAUGGACUCGCGGCUUAUCAGCUUGUUGGUGGGGUAGUGGCUUACCAAGGCUUUGACGGGUAGCCGGCCUGAGAGGGUGACCGGCCACAUUGGGACUGAGAUACGGCCCAGACUCCUACGGGAGGCAGCAGUGGGGAAUAUUGCACAAUGGGCGGAAGCCUGAUGCAGCAACGCCGCGUGCGGGAUGACGGCCUUCGGGUUGUAAACCGCUUUCGCCUGUGACGAAGCGUGAGUGACGGUAAUGGGUAAAGAAGCACCGGCUAACUACGUGCCAGCAGCCGCGGUGAUACGUAGGGUGCGAGCGUUGUCCGGAUUUAUUGGGCGUAAAGGGCUCGUAGGUGGUUGAUCGCGUCGGAAGUGUAAUCUUGGGGCUUAACCCUGAGCGUGCUUUCGAUACGGGUUGACUUGAGGAAGGUAGGGGAGAAUGGAAUUCCUGGUGGAGCGGUGGAAUGCGCAGAUAUCAGGAGGAACACCAGUGGCGAAGGCGGUUCUCUGGGCCUUUCCUGACGCUGAGGAGCGAAAGCGUGGGGAGCGAACAGGCUUAGAUACCCUGGUAGUCCACGCUGUAAACGGUGGGUACUAGGUGUGGGGUCCAUUCCACGGGUUCCGUGCCGUAGCUAACGCUUUAAGUACCCCGCCUGGGGAGUACGGCCGCAAGGCUAAAACUCAAAGGAAUUGACGGGGCCCCGCACAAGCGGCGGAGCAUGCGGAUUAAUUCGAUGCAACGCGUAGAACCUUACCUGGGUUUGACAUGGAUCGGGAGUGCUCAGAGAUGGGUGUGCCUCUUUUGGGGUCGGUUCACAGGUGGUGCAUGGCUGUCGUCAGCUCGUGUCGUGAGAUGUUGGGUUAAGUCCCGCAACGAGCGCAACCCUUGUUCACUGUUGCCAGCACGUUAUGGUGGGGACUCAGUGGAGACCGCCGGGGUCAACUCGGAGGAAGGUGGGGAUGACGUCAAGUCAUCAUGCCCCUUAUGUCCAGGGCUUCACGCAUGCUACAAUGGCUGGUACAGAGAGUGGCGAGCCUGUGAGGGUGAGCGAAUCUCGGAAAGCCGGUCUCAGUUCGGAUUGGGGUCUGCAACUCGACCUCAUGAAGUCGGAGUCGCUAGUAAUCGCAGAUCAGCAACGCUGCGGUGAAUACGUUCCCGGGGCUUGUACACACCGCCCGUCAAGUCAUGAAAGUUGGUAACACCCGAAGCCGGUGGCCUAACCGUUGUGGGGGAGCCGUCGAAGGUGGGACUGGUGAUUAGGACUAAGU